rnacentral:lncRNA from 1 species
GAAAUUCCCUUCACUGACAAUGAUGAACAAAUAAAGGACAUGUUGCGGAGGGGGCGCGGGGUCUAAACCCUAGUAGGAGUAUGGAUAAUGGUCCAUACUUCUCAUCUGGUGUCCGAACAGGGACCCUGUUUGCCUCCCCGUCUGCCACUGCCGCUCCGUAUUGUUGUGAUUAUUAUAUGGUUAAUUCACCGGAGUAUGUGCCAAGAAAAUGAUAACCUGCUCCUUUUCGUUGGGAAACGCCGAGGGUUCCACCUGAUUUUACCAGUUAUCAACGCAGGUGUUCAAUGCCGGAGAUACCGACUAAGUUUGAGCUAUGGAUAUCCCCUUCAGCGGAAUAAGGACAACUGUUUGA